AUUGAACGCUGGCGGCAGGCCUAACACAUGCAAGUCGAGCGCGCGGCGGAGGGGUGAGUAAUGUCUGUGAGACUGCCUGCUGGAGGGGGAUAACUACUGGAGAAGGGAGCGAAUAACGCGUACCAUCAGGUGUGACCAGAUGGGAUUAGCUAGUAGGGGGGGUAACGGCGCACCUAGGCGACGCUCUCUAGCUGGUCUGAGAGGAUGACAAGCCAAACUGGAACUGAGACACGGUCCAUACUCCUACGGGAGGCAGCAGUGGGGAAUAUUGCACAAGGGGCGCAAGCCUGAGGCAGCCAUGCCGCGUGUGUGAAGAAGGCCUUAGGGUUGUAAAGCACUUUCAGCGGGGAGGCGUUACCCGCAGAAGAAGCACCGGCUAACUCCGUGCCAGCAGCCGCGGUAAUUC
rnacentral:rRNA from 1 species